CUUAGCGAUGUGGACAGGAGUCGAAGGACUAGAAUGAGAUCACUGAACUCAUUUCACUUGUUGCUUACGGUACAGUCCAGCAUGAGCUGGAAAUGUAGGAACCUCAGCCUCCCGAGCAGAAAGACAGUGGCUGACACUUUUCCUCCAUGCUUUGAGAGGAAGAGAAUUGGCUGGAAUAAAACCUUGCCUUCCACAUGGUCGACUUGAAAUACAGCAUUGAAAAGGACUCAGCUUCCUCUCAAAUAUAUGGAGGAUUGGACUCCCAGGCACAACCCAAUAGAAACAAAGGGCCUAAAGCAGCAUUUUACAACCUUGGCCCUGUUGACAUUUGGAGCCAGAUAAAUCUUUGUUGCUCAGGACCGUCCUGUACAUGGUAAGUUGUAUAGCAGCAUCUCUGACCUCUACCCAUUAAAUGCAACUUCUUCAGUCUUGACAACCCAAAAUGUCUCUAGACACUUCUACAUGUCCCC
rnacentral:lncRNA from 1 species